rnacentral:rRNA from 1 species
ACGCUCGACACCUACGGAGGCAGCAGUGGGGAAUAUUGCACAAUGGGGGAAACCCUGAUGCAGCGACGCCGCGUGAGCGAAGAAGUAUUUCGGUAUGUAAAGCUCUAUCAGCAGGGAAGAAGAAAGACGGUACCUGACUAAGAAGCCCCGGCUAACUACGUGUCAGCAGCCGCGGUAAUCUGAGCGGGCUGGCAAGGC